AACGAACGCUGGCGGCAGGCCUAACACAUGCAAGUCGAGCGAGGACUUUGGUCCUAGCGGCGGACGGGUGAGUAACGCGUGGGAACGUGCCCUUUGCUUCGGAAUAGCCCUGGGAAACUGGGAGUAAUACCGAAUGUGCCCUUUGGGGGAAAGAUUUAUCGGCAAAGGAUCGGCCCGCGUUGGAUUAGGUAGUUGGUGGGGUAAUGGCCUACCAAGCCGACGAUCCAUAGCUGGUUUGAGAGGAUGAUCAGCCACACUGGGACUGAGACACGGCCCAGACUCCUACGGGAGGCAGCAGUGGGGAAUCUUAGACAAUGGGCGCAAGCCUGAUCUAGCCAUGCCGCGUGAGCGAUGAAGGCCUUAGGGUUGUAAAGCUCUUUCAGCGAGGAAGAUAAUGACUGUACUCGCAGAAGAAGCCCCGGCUAACUCCGUGCCAGCAGCCGCGGUAAU
rnacentral:rRNA from 1 species